UGCAUCCAUAGCUCAAUUGGAUAGAGCGUCUGACUACGGAUCAGAAGGUUGUGGGUUCAACUCCUGCUGGGUGCGCCAU
rnacentral:tRNA from 1 species